rnacentral:lncRNA from 1 species
CCCUGACAUAGAGCUGUCCGGGGACUCAGGAUCACGACUUGAGCCAAAGGCAGACACUUAACUGAGCCACCCAGGUGCCGUUCUGAAUUCCAUAUUCUCUCACUCCCUUGUCUUUACCUCUUUUCCCUGUGAGAGUACAGCACCCAGUAGCUCUGCUGAUUCUCCCUUACACUGCAGUCCUGACUUAUAUUCCCAUCCAAAGACAUGAGACUUAUUUAGUCUGGAAACAGUUUUUUAUUGAGCAUGCCAAGUCUUAGACUAGGCAGUGGAAAUGUAACAAUGAACAAAACAGACAUGACAUUAGAACUGUGUUCUCUCUUUUCUGUGCUCUACCCCAGGAUAGGCAACCCUAAAAUCUCGACAUCCUAGAGCUUAACCUUCUAGCAUCUAGCACUCAGCUCUGUAGGUCCUGGCUUUUGAAAGUAGCUCAAGGAUCCUUUAGGUUAGCAGCUUAAAGGGACAUACAUAGGAAAGAACUUCUAGAUGAUUACAUGACACUUGGAAGGCUUCAUUCAGUUACAGGCUGUAGGGAGGGAAGAACAGGAACUAUUAGAUGGCAAACCAUGAUUUUUGCUAUUUUCGUUAUGAGCAAGAGAAGAAUCUAGGGGUCUUAUCAAGUAAAACCGUCAACAUUGAUGCUAAAGAAGAAUACUGUAGAACUUUCAGGGUGAGAUGAAACUAUACUAAGAAUCGGUUUGACUAGGUUAAGGAAAAAUAUUUAUUGUGGUCAUCUGUGAAUUGUUGCUUAAAUAUACGGCAGCACUAGGUGUGUUCCACUUUCAUGAUUUGUUGCUUGUGUUGCAAGGCCAUCAGCUAAUAGAGAAUUGAUGUUGAGAGCUUAAAAGAGCCUUGUAGAGAUUAUAUGGCAUGGCCUGCUUACAAUUUUAAAUUUUAGACAGAGAAGCCUAGGGCUUCUGGAACCAGGAAGAUUACUGGUCUUUUACUUUGGAUUUUUUUCUUAUAUCCUUCUGAAAAUAUGUGUUUAAGUAUGCUGCUAUUAUAUUCAAAGGAUUUUGUUAAGCUUUCAAGGAGGUGUAGCUUCAGAAGGAAUUGGAAAAUUUUUUAAAAAAUACUCUUGAUACAGAACCUUUGAGGGAGAUGCAAAUGUGUUUUGAAUGUUAAAUUUACUUAGAUUUAAAAAUACAUAUCUUCAAGUAAAGUUGCCAUGACAACCUUUCUUAAUGUGUGUAUAAAUUUUAUGUCUGUCUCUUUGAGGUUUUCAUCUUUCCCAGUACCAGUAUAGGGUUUAAUCAUAAGAAUUGGGCACUGUGGUGUAUUUCUAUGUGCAUGGUGCCCUGUGGAAAUUCUAUAAUUUUGGAAGAUGCAAAUCAAGCAAUAGGGCAGUUCUGUAGCAUAAAAGUCCCACCAGGAUGAAUGUCUUCUUGUUCUCUCCAUCAUCAGAGAUCUGGUUUCAAACCCAGGUGAAAUUUUGGAUUGAAGUCAAACCAUGCAUCUGUUAGGAGUUUCAGUUUUUUCUUAUUUUGGAGAUUUAAGGAGAGUCUUAGGGAGUAUGGGAAAAUCUGGGCCAAAUAUUUUGGUUAACCCCCAAACUGAUCCAGUCUCCCUGAAAUUAUCUAAAUCUAAACCACAGUUGAUAUCAUAGGUUAACUUAGAACCACAAGAGACUUCUCUACAAUGGCCAGGCAUGUGCCCAGAGACACCUUAGAAGCUCCUUCUGGCCUAAACUCCAAUCCAGCACCACUAGACAGAUACCAUUAAUAGACCUUUUACUUCCUUUUAUCCUAUUUAGGAUACUCUUGACUCUCAGGCUCUACUUUGCACAUGAAGGGCCAAGAAAAGAGUAGUAGGAUUUGAAGAAGAUAAGUUUAGGAGGAAGGAAUUCUCAUCCUUAAUUUAGGAAAUGUGAAUUUAUUAAGUAGAGGAAUAAGGGAGUAGUUCCCAGUGUCUUUUCAUAACAGUAACUAUGACUUUUUCUUAAGAAUUCUUAAUCUUGAAGCACCUACCUGGCUUAGUCAUUUGGGUGUCUGCCUUUGGCUUGGAUCGUCAUCUUGGGGCCCUGAGAUCAGGCCCCACAGCAGUUUCUCUCUGCUCAAUGGGGAGUCUGCUUCUCCCUUUCACUCUCCCUCUUUCUCUAUGUCUCUCUUUCUCUCAAAUAAAGAAAAUCUUAAAAAAAAAAAACUCUUAAUCUUAACACGGAUGCCUAAAUUUUGAGAUAUUUGCUUAAGAGCUGUUCAUGUUUUUAUAUUGUAGUUCCUCUACAGCUUUAAAAAAAAAUGAAUGUUUAUAGUAAUUUAAGAAUCCCUGAAGACAAUUAACUGAGCUCAGAAGUAUGAUUAAUGUGUAAGCUUUGAUUCUCUUUUAAAGUUUUAAUAGGCUUUAUAAUACUAUGUUACAUUUAAGAGAAUCCAUAGAAAUUUUCUAAUCCAAUCCCCAUAUAAAAGGGGGAAAUUUAUUUAUUUUUUAGAUUUUAUUUAUUUAUUCAUAGAGACACACAGAGAGAGAGAGAGAGAGAGAGAGAGGCAGAGACACAGGCAAAGGGAGAAGCAGGCUCCAUGUGGGGAGCCCGACAUGGGACUCGAUCCUGGGUCUCCAGAAUCACACCUCAGGCUGCAGGCGGCGCUAAACCGCUGCACCACGGGGGCUGCCCAAAAGGGGGAAAUUUAAACUGGGAGAGGUUAUUUUAUAUGGGAAUAUGUUCGGGCUUAUUUAUACUUUUUUAAAAAACAUGUUUAGAUUUCCUUUUUGUUUCAUCUUACUCUAAAGGAAGAAUUUUUUAAAAAGAAGAAAUAAAGAAAAGGCCCCAAUGCAAAAAGAACUGGCUAAAUUAGUGUACUAUGUAUUGAUAACUGAGAGAAAUAAGAUAAUAGCCUCCUAAAAACAAACAACACUUGAAAAGAGAUGCCCCACAGUCCAUGCUGUGAUAGGUUUUAAAAAAGAUUUCUUUAUUUAUUUGAGAGAGAAUGUACAUGCAUGGGCAGGGGCAGGGGCAAAGGGAGAGAAAAUUUCAAACAAACUCCCCUCUGAGUGCAGACCCCAACCCUGGGCUUGAUCUUAGGACCCUGAGAUCAUGGUCUGAGCCGAAAUCAAGAGUCAGAUGCUUAACCAACUAAGCCAACCAGGCACUCCCCUGUGCUAUAAUGUUUAUAAAGAUUUUUUAGUUUAUUUUGAUUGUAAGAGCCAUAAAUUAGGGCUGACUGCAUAAUUUGUGGGACCCAGUGCAAAAUGAGAAUAUGGGACCUUAGCUUAAGACAAAGUCAAUCUCUCUUCCUGUGGGCCUGCUAUUUUCAAAGUAGGUGAAUAACCCCUAUGGGAUUCCCUAAGAGAUUGAAAUCUCCACUCCAAGACACAUUACUUACCUGGAUCAGGGGUAGGCAAGGGAACCCUGACCAGUCAGUGAACAUGCUGUGGUGUGGCCAGCCCAAGGCAGGGAUGACUGCUUCCUUGCUCUGCCUCAAGAUGCUCCAGAGAAAUCACUUGUGGGAGCCCAGACCUCCCCAUGGAGGGUGACCAUGGCAGAAAGUGGGCCUUCCUCACCAGCUCCCCUGGUAAUGUAAUCCUGUUGCCGCCCUGGGCAAAAGGCCUCAAUGCUCACUUCAGGGGUAGGAGAUGGAGGUCAGGUGGGGCCCAGGGUACCAGGCAGCAGGUAGUUUGUCACUGAGAACCUGAGAAGGGAAGCCAGGUAGUAGUCUCCAAGCCUUCAGUGCAUGCUGUGUCAUCCUAUUUGGCUCCAGUUAUAAAACACAAAUUAAAAAAAUAAAAUUUUUAAGAAUUUACUACAGUGCCCUCAAAGUAUUCUACCCCAAAGCAUAGGGCCCAUCUGAGUAGUGGGGUUCUGUGAGACUUAACCGGUUGCACCCCAGGAGGCCAACCCUGGACACAUCUGACCUUACAUGGCAUGGUGCUGUGACUCAGUGGUUUUUAAGUGCUAUACUUCCUGGUUGUAUGCUAGCUAUCUUUGCAAAUAACCAUAAGUGUUUCAUUUAUUAUUUAUCAUUUAGUGGUUUAAACUUCUGUCGGAUAUCUUAAAAUUACCUACACAAUAAGCAAUACAUAGCUGCCAGACUUAAAAAAAAAAAGCAAUUUCAUAGUACACAUGUAUAUUGAAGUUGCAGAAGUGUUCUAGUACAGUAAAAAAAUCUCAUCUUGAACCCCCAUUUCACUGACGGAACUUUUACUUUUCCUGUAUUUUAAUCAUAACUGCCAAAGAUUUUUCAGCUGAAAGGUAAAAUGGAAAUUUUCUGUGAAAUAUCAUCAUAAAACCCUAUGAAAUAUUUCAGUGAUAUGAGUCAUUCACUUAUUCAUAGGGGUAGACAUUUAGAUAAUAGAAGUAGCUAACAGAAAUCUGUGAGAAAUAUAUUGUUAAUUCCUGUGGAGGAGGAAGGAAGAAAUCCUACUGAUGUAUUUUUAAGUGUAGUUAAAUUCAGUGUUCCCUUCCAUUUCAAAAUAUCAAAAUUAUUCUGUUAUCCUUUCUUUCCAAGAGGCUACAUAAAAUUACUUUGACAAAAUCAUGAACCAUUUUUUUGCUGUUAACCUCUUCCACAUUCCAUUUCAUGAACAUAACAAUCAGUGGUCAAGAAUAUCCUUAUUUUUAUCAACCUUGUAUUGCAUAUAUAACACUUAACUACCAUGCACUGUGGUAUUUAGUUAGCAAUUUUGUCAAAGUAUAACCUCUUGGUUUACGAUAUUACUGAAACUAACAAGAAACAGACUGUAAUAAAUAAAACUUAGCAACUGUUGGAAAUAAUUUAUGAUGUAGGUCAGUUAAUAUUCAGCAUACAGGUUCUAAUGGUAUUAAUGCAUAAUCAACUGGUAUUUCAAACUGCUAGCAAUUCAUGUUAUUAAAUGAAGGUCAGUACUGUAGAAUUUUCAGUAAUAAAAACCCUGCACAUUCUGAGGCUUGAAGUUUUAUAAAAUCUUUAACAUAAUUUAAACAAAAGGUGAGCAAAAGUAGCUAAUUUUAGAAAUCAGUUUUUGUGAACUAAUUUGUAAUCUGCUGUGAGGAAACUAUUAUCUGUUUUAUGUUUUAGCUCUGAAAUGCAGUGCUUUUCAUGGGGAAGGAUACAUAAAGACAGUUUUAGGAGAAAUGAAAGAACUGAGGAAUUUUUUUUCUUCAAAAACAUACCUUUCAAGAUAAAUUAUCUACCCAUUGUUAAACCUAUACACAGAGCUAUAUUACCAUGAACAAUUUCGGGUUUAUAUUGCCCACUGUCAUAGUUUAAUGGAAAACAUUGUUUUCUCCUUGACUAUAGAAAACAAACUGAAGGUUAUCAGAAGGGAGGUGGGUGGGAAGAAUGGGUGAAAUGGGUGAUGGGGAUUAGUGAGUGUACUUGUGGUAAACACCAAGUAAUUAAAAUAAAGACUUAAAUUUUUUUUUUCUUUUUGUUUUCCAUAAGUAAGGGAGCUAUUUUGUUGUCUCUCAAAGGAAACUAUUACAGAUUGCUAAGUAUUUAAAUAAAAUCUCUCCAAGUUGUAUUCUGGAUAUAUAAUAUUUCCUCAGAGUAAUUUCUUCUUGAAAAAUAUUUUUCAUUGGGUAUUGGAUAGUAUGAGAGGAUUAUUGCUGAUUUUGUUCAAUGUGCUAACAAUAUUGUGGCUAUGUAGCAAAAUACAGAUGUAUAUAUAUAUAUAUAUAUAUAUAUAUAUAUAUAUAUAUAUAUAUAUAUAUACAUACACACACACACACACACUAAAGUGUUUAAGGAUUAAAUGUCAUGUUUACAUACUUAAAGGUCUUUGGUAAAGAAUACUAUAAGAAGAUAAAGUAAAAUAGAAGUUAUUGUUAUUUUGGGAUCCCUGGGUGGCGCAGCGGUUUGGCGCCUGCCUUUGGCCCUGGGCGCGAUCCUGGAGACCCAGGAUCGAAUCCCACGUCGGGCUCCCGGUGCAUGGAGCCUGCUUCUCCCUCUGCCUGUGUCUCUGCCUCUCUCUCUGUGACUAUCAUAAAUAAAUUUUAAAAAAAAAAUUAAAAAAAAAAAAAAAAAGAAGUUAUUGUUAUUUUAAUUAAUGGGUAUUUAUAUAUUCAUUAUACCAUUCUCCAUACUGUAUGUUUCUAAUUUCCAUGAUAAAGAGACAAAAAAUAUGGCUU